GAUGAACGCUAGCGACAGGCCUAACACAUGCAAGUCGAGGGGCAGCAUGAAAUUAGCUUGCUAAUUUUGAUGGCGACCGGCGCACGGGUGAGUAACACGUAUGCAACCUGCCUGUAAGCGGGGGAUAACCCGGAGAAAUUCGGACUAAUACCGCAUAAUAUCAUCGAAUCGCAUGUUUUGAUGAUUAAAAAUUUAUUGCUUACAGAUGGGCAUGCGUAUGAUUAGCUAGUUGGCGGGGUAACGGCCCACCAAGGCGACGAUCAUUAGGGGUUCUGGGAGGAAGGGCCCCCACAUUGGAACUGAGACACGGUCCAAACGCCGACGGGAGGCAGCAGUGAGGGAUAUUGGUCAAUGGACGCAAGGCUGAACCAGCCAUGUCGCGUGAAGGAUGACUGUCCUAUGGAUUGUAAACUUCUUUUAUAUGGGGAUAAAGUGUGAGACUUGUCUCAUUUUGCAUGUACCAUAUGAAUAAGCAUCGGCUAACUCCGUGCCAGCCGCCGCCGUAACAC
rnacentral:rRNA from 1 species